rnacentral:tRNA from 1 species
UCCCUGAUGGUUAAGUUGGUAAAAAAAUCCACCUGCAAUGUGGGAGACCUGGGUUCUAUCCCUGGGUUGGGAA